GUUCUGAGUGAAGCAAGCGGGCGGCAGAGCUGGAGGUUUCACAAGGCUGCUGGGAGAGGCUUCGGUGCAGGAACCCAAGUCCAAGUUUGCUUCUUAGGAUGUGUAAAGCAUGGUCUUUAAGAAAGAGAACCUGGAUUUCAUUGAAUUGUAUUUAUGUCGAAUCACGAUUCUCUUGUGCAAUUAUUAGCAUGAACUCUGUGCAUGAAAGCAACAUCAGGAGUCUGCCUGGGUCCGAGAGGAGUUCAGCCUUACUACAGCCUCAGAUGAGAACAGGAGUGGGACCAGCUCUGAGUUAGAUGAAACCCAGAAGACUUCAGAGAAAGUCCUCUAUCACUUCCAGCCCAGCCCAGUAAGGGAAACUGGGACUCUUCCUCCUUUUGUUCUACUCAAGUUGCUGCUUCCAAGGCUCUGUGACCGACAAGGGAUGGACUGGACUAUUAAUCUAAAAUGUUUAAUUUUUAAAGUCAUUUGUCAUAGAGAGUCACAACCCCGAGCAAUGAAAAUAUUUUUUAAUUCAUAGGACACCUGCUGGGAGAAGUGUGCUCCUGUUACUCAGAAUUCUGCAAGUGAAAGUAAAAUGUGUUGGGGAUAGUUCCUCCCUAAUCUCCAUUGGGAAGUUUGCAUCUGGAUCCCAGUUGUAUACAGUUUUUGUUAAUUUAUGCUUGUGUGAACAGCUGCCUGAGACAGACCAUAUUUGGAUUUAGCAAGUGUUUCUGUUCCUUCAAAAAAAAAAUAUAUCAAAACAAAACAACUCCACAGUAAUGACAAUGAAGGCUUUCAAAAGAAUUCUGGAAACUCAGGUUCCCAGAAGUGGCCCAAUAACAUGAAGAUAUGAAACAAGGUCUCUACUAUGUCAGAGACAUCGCCAUGUUAGUUAGCUGUCAACUGACAUCUAACAGAAGCCUUUUCACAUGACUCUCUGUCAGACAUCCCUGAUAACCGUGUGCACACUUUCCCUGUGUCACAUCACCACUCCACCAGUGGUGUCAGGAGGAAAGACAACAAAGGCCAGAACUGUUACUGCUGAGACAGAAAGAAGACUGUAUCAGUAGCAUGACUCUUUAAUCACUGUUAUGUACAAUUUAUCAUCUGACAGACUUACAGGGAAUAAAUAAAGGAAAAUAGACAAUUGGCA